AGGACCAAAGCUCAGCUGUUAUUCCUGACAGGAUGCUCCAUCAUCAUUCAUCAUAAGGCAGGAUAAAAACAAUCCACUACCCACUUAGCAUCCAGGGUUUCAGAAGAAUCACUAAGUUCCUGAGUCACAAAUCUGAGCCAGGUGUCCCUUCGAUUCCUGCAGCCAGAUUCAGCGCAGUGCACCUGGGUAGGGUCAGAUUGGGCCCAGAAAAGAAUGCACCAGGAAGCUACCCCCUGCAACUCUGAAGAAAUCCAAUCAGACAAUCACAGUAAGGAAGAUACACUUUGGCAAAGAAGAAUAGAAGGUCAAAUGAACCACAGUCCCCUGCCUGCUGCCCCGAGUGCAGAAAAUGAAACGGCAAGGUUUCAUUGUUGCAGAAUCAGUAAAUAAAGCCAAAAGCUGCUGUAGUGCCUUGUGCAUCAAUUGAUGAAGUAGUUCUUGG